UCCUGGGCUGAAAAUGAAGAGAAUUGUGCUCAAUACUUAUUAGGAGUUAAAUAAUAGUUUCCAGCUGUAAAUGAAUGACUACAUCUCCCCGCAUUUGGUGUCACCCUGGAAACUACUAUUUAUUCUUUUGGGUAAACACUGCUGGAGACAAGCUUCAGGUGCCCAGGCAACCUAGCCAGGCUGACAAAGUACUCCAUGAGCCCCCUGCACUCACUCCCACAGGCACCUUCAUUCUCUCUUGGUCUGCUUCUCUGGGUGGGAGGCCUCAGGAGCCCCAGUACCGAGCUGGGUAUGUAAACACUCACUAAGCGGGCAGAUUCGCUCGAAGGAGGCCUGCACCUCUGCACACACCUGCAAGUGCUAGGCCCUAACACCAGCAUCUGGUGGUCUGUCUGAUGUCCACCAGCCCCCACAUGUGGCUGUCACUCCAGACAACAGACUUGUUUAUGAGCAGUGAAUGCUUUGCUCAGCAGGGCAGGCAGAAUGACCCCAGACCAGGGCCCUCUCAGUCUCAGAAUCUUCAAGCAUAGGAGCCCUCCCACACCUACAACCUGUCGGUUCCAUUUGACUGCCCCCCCACUCCAGCUGCCUCCACCUCAGGCACCUGUUCAGGAGCAUGGCAGACCAGGAUCCCAGCAGAUGGCUGGUCCUGCAGGCUGAGGACUGACAGAUUCUUUGGCCUGUGGCCCACAGAGACAGGCAGACAUUGUCAUUAGGAAGAAAUGAAAACAUUGCUCACUGCCCCUUUCCAGUGGGGCACAGAACUUAACCCCAUGGCCUCUACAGCAGCCUGUCCCCCUCCUCCCAGUCUCUACACACCAAGCCUUCCAGGCAACAUUGGAUCGUGGAGGUGAAGUUCAUGGAUGUGUGUGGAGGAGAUAACAAUGUGUCAGGUGUCCCCUGUCUCCCUGUCUUCUCCUUCGUGGACAUCUGGAGACAGUUCUUCAACGUUCAGGGCUGGCCUGGUGUCUCUCUUCCUCUGGGCUACGAGGACCUGCUUGUUCUUUACAAUCACCCGUUUUCCCCCACCCCUUCCUUUUCACCCUUUCUCUCUUUUCCAACUUCCCUUCAGCUCAAGUUGUGUGUGAGAGAAAGAAGGCGGCUCACGUGCCCGGCUGAGGAAUGAGAUCAUUUCUCUCCCCAUGUAGCGGGCUUGCUGUCUGCUGGUCGGGGUUACUGGGAGAAAGCAGGACAGCUCGCUCUCCACAGAGAGCCAUCUGGCUCCAACAGACUCACGCGGAUGCUAAUCUAUUGGUUUCUUUUUCUUUUAUUCUUUCAUUCUUUCUUUUUGUUUGCUCCCGAGGAACACUUCAUCUGCAGCUGUAAAUUCAGACCUGGCCCCGUGAAGGCGAGCGUUCAUUCGUGCAUUUAUUUAUUCCUGCAUUAUGCCCCCUCGCCCCCUCUCCUCUGGCGUUCUGGUUGGAGAAAGGAGAUGGAGGCAUGCUCGAAGCCUGAUGUCUACCUGAUGAAGCACUGUCAUGUCUACAUUUACUGUUAGCUAAUCACAGUGGUAUCUACAGUACCAAUGGUGUGUAAUAUCAGUGUUAUCUAAUAUCAGAGGUAUCCGCCUGGGAACUCAAGCUGAAAAACAUGGCGACAAUAUCAUUGUGGCUAUUGUUGGUUGAUGCUUGUUUUGCGUCAAGCACCCAGCUAAAUAUUCUCCAUAUGUGGCCUCCUAUAGUCCUGUGAGUGUGAUGUACAUAGUAUUAUUAUCCAUGUUUCACAGAGGGGAAAAUGAGGCAUGGGCUAAGUGGAAGAAGUGGCCUUCAGACCUAGCUCUGCCCAACUCUGACCUUAGCUCUCAGCCACUGGGCCCCAGUCCUCCCUAAUGUUUCAACAGGAAGAAAGGUAACUACUCACUCACACCCUGUAUAAACACUUUCAUAAUGUCAGACACAUAGAGUUGGAGUGAACUAAACAGGAGAGAUCUAAUAAAAGUUAAAGCUUGAUUUUUUCCCUGACAUAUCCUGCUGUUUAAACAGAUAGUUCAUUUGGAGCCUGAAAAAGAGUCAUCAUUCAAUGUCUCCAAAGCUGGGUUUACAUUAGUCUAUUUUAUGAAAAAGUAAAGUACCUCCAACUACUGGUCAUUGCUCUCUUCUGUUGUGGAAGAAAGAGUCAGGGAGCAGGAGAGGGUGUGUUUGGAUUCCAGCGCCCCCUGCAUCUCCCCACUAAGCAGCUGCCUUGAAAUACACGGAAGCUGAUGCCAAUUAGAACUCAGAAAAAAGGGAGGACAUUUUGUCGCUCAGGAAAAGUAUGUUUUAAACAAAUGAUAAAAUAAACACAACAGGUUUACGUAAGAAUCUCCAAUGCUUUCUCCAAUGAAUGAGCGCCAUCUUGAAAGUCCAUGAGGCCCCACUGCAGCGAGCAAACAUUAAUCAAAGCCAGAGUUAUCAGGAGACAAAACGUCUACUAAUUUGCUAGGGACUAAUAAGCAUCAGUCACACCCACCAUUAUAACUUGUUUUACCUUGUCCAAGGGUAAAGACACAUGUAAGGAGACUCACAACCUUUUAGAACAUUAGCUUUGUCUUAAGUGAGGGAAAAAAAAAUAAACUUCUGCUUACGGAGGAA